rfam:Dipodomys ordii contig_64963, whole genome shotgun sequence.
GGGAAGGUGGCUCUGUGGUAGAGCGCUUGCCUUGCAUGCAUGAGGCCCUGGGUUCGAUUCCUCAAUACCCCA